UUUCCUUUCUCCUUUCCGCAGACGCCGACUUCCGCCCGCACCCAGCCCUCAGCGCGCGCUCCUCCCGCCGCGCUGCCCGCGCAGCCACCCCGGCGCGGCGCGUGCGUCACGUUGCGGGGGCACGUUAGGCUCACUAAUGGUAAAGGAUCUCAAACAUCUACUUUAUCUCCAUCCCCAGCCCCAUAUGUCUGAGUGAUGUCCAGGCCUGGUUUCACUCCAAAAGGAGAAAAAAGGGAGGAGUGGGGAUCCGUAAAGCUCACAGGAAACCUCCCGAACAGGCCCACCUGGAAACGGCUGCAGGAAGGAAGAAAUUAAUACAUCCUGGAGCCAGGACUUUACCCCCUCCCCUUUUAGUGUAAAAGAAGCAUGAAUUCUAACUCAGGGAAGAUGGUUCUUUGGGACACUAGUCCACCAUCUUCUCCAUCUGCUGCUUUUCCAAAUAAAGUUGUUCUUCCU